UCAAAUCACAAACUCAAGAUUUCUUGCAAAUAUGGAAGUUUAUGGAUGAAACAAGAUACUAGGGAGUUAGUAAAGCUAUUUGGAGCAUUUUUGGUGGAACUAGAAGCCCUAGAUCAUCAAGAUUUUUCUUAUCUUCAUCCCUAUUUUCUAGCAAAAAUUGUCGAGAAACGAACCGCGAACAAGGAAUCGAAUAGAGAUUUGCACGGAACGCAAAUCUGAGAUUAGUGGACGAC